UACAGAGGGCGCGAGCGUUAAUCGGAUUAACUGGGCGUAAAGGGCGCGUAGGCGGUUAUAUGAGUGUGGUGGGAAAGCCCUGGGCUUAACCUAGGAAGUGCAUCGCAAACGAUAUGACUGGAGUAUUGGAGAGGGUAGCGGAAUUUCCGGUGUAGCGGUGAAAUGCGUAGAGAUCGGAAGGAACGUCAAUGGCGAAGGCAGCUACCUGGCCAAAUACUGACGCUGAGGCGCGAAAGCGUGGGGAGCAAACAGG
rnacentral:rRNA from 1 species